UGGGGAAUCUUGGACAAUGGGCGCAAGCCUGAUCCAGCCAUGCCGCGUGCAGGAUGACGGUCCUAUGGAUUGUAAACUGCUUUUGUACAGGAAGAAACAGUUCUACGUGUAGAACCUUGACGGUACUGUAAGAAUAAGGAUCGGCUAACUCCGUGCCAGCAGCCGCGGUAAUACGGAGGAUCCAAGCGUUAUCCGGAAUCAUUGGGUUUAAAGGGUCCGUAGGCGGUUAGAUAAGUCAGUGGUGAAAGCCCAUCGCUCAACGGUGGAACGGCCAUUGAUACUGUCUGACUUGAAUUAUUAGGAAGUAACUAGAAUAUGUAGUGUAGCGGUGAAAUGCUUAGAGAUUACAUGGAAUACCAAUUGCGAAGGCAGGUUACUACUAAUGGAUUGACGCUGAUGGACGAAAGCGUGGGUAGCGAACAGGAUUAGAUACCCCCGUAGUCCCUGAGCGGGCUGGCAAGGCGCAU
rnacentral:rRNA from 1 species